AUGGAGUGCCAAGGUGGGGGGCAGGCCGUUCCUCCGGAGGUCCAGGUCCUCUCCUCGACCUCCUGCAGCCCCUCGGCGGGGGAGGAAGGGGGGGAGCUUCUCUGCCUCGUCACCGGCUUCGCCCCGCCCCCCGUGAAGGUGCAGUGGUUGGUGGACGGUGUCCCCAGUGACUUCCCGGUCACCCAAAUGCCACCGCGGCGGGAAGAAGGGGCCACCACCUACGUGGUCAGCAGUCGCACCAACGUCAGCCACCACGAGUGGUUGGAAGGGAAGACCUUCACCUGUCAGGUGACGCAUCCCCCCACCGGCCAGGUCGCCCAGGGCCACGCCCGCUUCUGCCCAGGUCUGGAGAACCUCAACGUCAACAACAUCCGUCUCUACGUCCUCCCGCCGGCGGUGGCCGACCUCUACAUCACCCGUCACCCCAAGGUCCGUUGUUUGGCCACCAACCUCCCCAGCGACUCGGGCUUCCAACUCUCGUGGGUCAAGGAGAAACCGGGGGUCCUCCACCCGGACCUCUUGGACCUCCGGGAGCAGUUCAACGGGACCUUCACGGCCACCAGUACCUUGAGCAUCUCCACCCAAGACUGGGAAAAUGGAGAACGUUUCACCUGUACGGUCAAACACUCCGACCUCCAGGUGCCCCUCAACAAGAGCAUCUCCAGACGUACCGGCAAGGUCACCCCACCCCUCAUCUUCCUCUUCCCCCCCCACCCCGAGGAGAUGUCCCACUCGGAGGUGACCCUCACCUGUUUGGUUCGGGCUUUCCAACCGGAGAACGUGGAGGUCCAAUGGUUGAAGAACCACCAGAACGUCCCGACGGAGGACUACGUCACCACUCCGCCCCUCAGAGAAGGUCCCACCGCCACCUCCACCUUCUUCAUCUACAGCAAGAUGACGGUCCUCAAGGCCAACUGGUUGCGAGGAGACAUCUACACCUGCAUGGUGGUCCACGAAGGGUUGCCCAUGAAGUUCACCCAACGUCAAAUCCAGAAGAACCCCGGUAAAUAA